ACCAUAUGCUGUAAUUGCAUUUUGAUUUGUUAAUAAUUUUGGCGGUUAUGCAAUUCUUGUGCAAAGAUCUAAUAACCAAGUUUAAUCCUUGCUCUCAGUGCAGAAGGAAAUAACAUCCUUCCCUCUGUUAGCCUUGUUUUCUCUAGCAUGCUCAUUAUUGCUGGUGUGAGUUAUCCUCCAACAUUUUUGGCUACUCACUAUUUUACCUUCCAAAUUCUUAUUUUCAAUCUGAAAAAUGAUCUUAGUAGAUAGAGAAUCUUGUUGUGUUAACACUCAAGAAUGUGAAUGUAACUACUAUCUAAUCAUUAUUACAGUGCUUUACAUAUGCUUUUGCAAGGCAAUUAAAUGCUUUCCAGACUGGUGAUAUGUUAUUUGGCAUGUAAGAGACUCUGUUUAAAUGUUGUAUAUAGUUGCAAACUAUGUUCAUGUUAAUGUUUACUGCUUUAUUUAGGUGGAAUUCUUAUAUCUUGUGGAACUUCGCUUGGUGUUUUUCUACAGUGGGUUAUCCAGGUUCUUUUCAUUAUUUUCUUUCUGUUAUAGUGUUACAUUAUUCUUGUUCUGUAUUGUGAAUGGACAUGUCAUGUGUGCUUUCAGGUCAUAGUGCUGUGGAGAAGAGACUAUUGUAUGAUUCCAUUAUCAUAGAUGAGCAUUUUAAAGGACAAAGAUGUGCAUGCGACAGGGAAUCUACUGCACAUUGCCAUUUUUAACAUUAGUUACAUAAGAGGCCUUUUUCCUGAGAAAUAUUUCAAUGAGAAGUCUGUUCCUGCCUUAAGGUGUUUAUGAUGCAUUGCAGAAGAAAUACCUAAGGACACUGUUGUUCUGUGUUUGUAAAGGAGUGGAAGGUUCAAUGAUUGAGGAAUAUGCAUUUACUCUAAUUCUGAAAGCCAAGAGGUUUCAAUGAAGAUCAAUUGCACUGUGAUUGAUGAUGCCACUGGUGCUAGAAAGAUGAAUUAUGAGGACUUUUGCCACAUUGCCUAUUUGUGUAUAGAACAAAUAGGCCCUAAAUGUCGACGCUUUUUCAGUUCGUCAAACUUCAUGAAGUUCAAGAAAGAUGAGUCAGGAAGAAUUGCCAUCCUGCCAUUUUUCCUUUAUGUCAUUCGUACGGUUCUGAUGAACUUAACAAAUGACAACCCUGUGUGCUGUCAGCAAAUUGCUGCCUGUGGAGGACAGGGGAAACCUUGUCUUCAUUGAUUGCUGGCCACUUUCCAUCAUUUAGUUCAUCUUUGCCUCCCUUCACCGAUAUAAGAAAUGAUACCUUGUUGUCCAAGUCUUAAGACAUUUGAAAGGGUGUGAUCGGUCGGACUUUAUCUUUUGUAAGACUAGAAUAGUCUCUACAAAUAGUUAGUUUAUUCAUAUGCUUCUAGCGGUUUCUAAAUUAAUUUUUGUUUUCAUU